CCUACGGGUGGCAGCAGUGAGGAAUAUUGGUCAAUGGACGUGAGCCUGAACCAGCCAAGUAGCGUGAAGGAUGACUGCCCUAUGGGUUGUAAACUUCUUUUAUAAGGGAAUAAAAUGAGUCACGUGUGCCGUUUUGUAUGUACCUUAUGAAUAAGGAUCGGCUAACUCCGUGCCAGCAGCCGCGGUAAUACGGAGGGUCCGAGCGUUAUCCGGAUUUAUUGGGUUUAAAGGGAGCGUAGGUGGGUUGUUAAGUCAGUUGUGAAAGUUUGCGGCUCAACCGUAAAAUUGCAGUUGAAACUGGCAGUCUUGAGUACAGUUGAGGUAGGCGGAAUUCGUGGUGUAGCGGUGAAAUGCUUAGAUAUCACGAAGAACUCCGAUUGCGAAGGCAGCUUACUGGACUGCCACUGACACUGAGGCUCGAAAGUGCGGGUAUCAAACAGGAUUAGAUACCCUAGUAGUC
rnacentral:rRNA from 1 species